GAGACAGAAUUCUGCAAGGGAACCUGAAAAGCAGCCUCCCCCUGCAAAUGCUGGGAUGGAGCCAGCUGUGCCUGAGAACCACCUCGCCUGUGAGGUUCAUGCUGCAAAAUGGUUAUCACAUCAUAAACAGACCUGGCUGAAUCCUGGCCCUUGUGGUACAGAGGACUUUACUCAAGAAAACACUGAUGGGCUGGGGUAGGUAGGAUGUGUGGAAAGGUGGCCAGCAUUGGGAUUACCACCAGAAGUGCACUUGCAGGAGCUCUGCUCGCAAAGAUGGAAAUGAAUUUGUUUUGAGGGCAGCUGAGGAUGAACUGGUAGGAGCUCCCACUUCCAGGGAAGUUGAAAGCAGAUGUAAUCAGCUGAAGUCAAAUACCUUUUGAGAUGCAACUCUAUAGCCAGCAAUGCCCAUGCUUUUGGGCAUGUCUCAAUCUGAUCUCCAUUGCUUCUCUCUAUACUGACUGAGGGCCUUCAGUGCUUUGGGUAGCUGAGUGAUGACCUGCUCCUGUUAAAAGAUCAUGCUUUCCCCCCUCAGCUCUUACUCCACUCCUCUGUUUUGCUGCAAGCUGAACUCCCAGCCUGGAAAGCUUUCUCCAAUGGUAAGUUUUGAAAGAAGAUGUGCUAAAAACUUAAAAUGUUUCUGCAAAUGGGUACUUCAUGGCACUGGUUCUAGAAUAAGGAUCAUAAGGUAGACAGAUUGCUCUCCAAAUUGGCAAUUGAAGCAUCUGCUACUUGUGCCUACAACUUUUGCAGAAUUUCUGGAGGAAAAACCAAUCCAUUUUAGAAAGAAACAAAAAGAGACAUAACUGGCAAACUUAUUUUCUAUUUUUUUCAGUGAGCCUAAAGGAAAGUUUCCUUCUACUCACUCUAUGUUGUCAGUAUAGCUUUGUCUCCAGCACUUUAUAAUUUUCCAGCAUGCCUGUCUGCUGCCAAAUCCUUCCCUUGACAUGACCACAGAAUAAAAAAUCCUUUGCUUCCCUCAUUUGAACAUCCAACAAGCCGCAGUGGCUUUCUAAAUGACUGCCUUCUAUGAAGAAGCACAGAAAGUAGUCCUCAGUCAUGCCCACUUGAACGACCAUGUGAAAGAGCCUGAUUUCAUUAUUCCUCUUAUCAGCACGGUAGACCUCUGAUAUUACCCUGAAUAUUGCCUCUAACUGGCUACCUCAGCAGGCCCCUGGGUCUUUCAAAGGGCCACCAUUCUUCUCUCCCACACAAGACAGCAAACCAUUCUUCCCCUCUGCUAACCCAGGACCAGGGGAUUGCUGCCUCACCCUCUGCAUUUGGCCAGAACAGAUGCAAAAAACCCACAGAAAUUUGGAGCUCCCCAACCAACUGACUUUGGUGUAGCAGAUGCUGCUGUAAAGGAACCUGGUGGCUUCAAAAACUGUGACACUGGUGUUUUUCUCUAUGCCCUCAUGCUGUCACUCACUAUCUGAUCUGUGUCAGAAGGACAAGGCCACAAUGUGCAUACUGUCAGUAUUUCCCUGUGCCUUGGACUUCGAUAUUCUUUGGACAUCUGAGCCUUUUUGCUGCAGUUGAGAUAACACUUACUCUACUCAUCAGGAGGUGGGAGGUUAUCUGUCAGUGUGUCUUCAUUCACAACAUAUAUGCACAAA